CCUACGGGGGGCAGCAGUGAGGAAUAUUGGUCAAUGGGAGAGAUCCUGAACCAGCCAAGCCGCGUGAGGGAAGACGGCCCUAUGGGUUGUAAACCUCUUUUGUCGGAGAACAAAACCCGGGACGUGUCCCGGACUGCGUGUCUCCGAAGAAACAGCCUCGGCAAACACCGGGCCAGCAGCCGCGGUAAUCCGGAGGAUGCGAGCGUUAUCCGGAUUUAUUGGGUUAAACGGGUGGGUAGGCGGUCCGGUAAGUCAGCGGGAAAAUUGCGGGGCUCAACCCCGUCGAGCCGUUGAAACUGGCAGACUUGAGUUGGCGAGAGGUACGUGGAAUGCGCGGUGUAGCGGUGAAAUGCAUAGAUAUCGCGCAGAACUCCGGUUGCGAAGGCAGCGUACCGGCGCCAGACUGACGCUGAGGCACGAAAGCGUGGGGAUCGAACAGGAUUAGAUACCCCAGUAGUC
rnacentral:rRNA from 1 species